UUGAACGCUGGCGGCAGGCCUCACCCAUGCAAGUCGCGCGGAUGAAGGGAGCUUGCUCCUGGAUUCAGCGGCGGACGGGUGAGUAAUGCCUAGGAAUCUGCCUGGUAGUGGGGGAUAACGUCCGGAAACGGGCGCUAAUACCGCAUACGUCCUGAGGGAGAAAGUGGGGGAUCUUCGGACCUCACGCUAUCAGAUGAGCCUAGGUCGGAUUAGCUAGUUGGUGGGGUAAAGGCCUACCAAGGCGACGAUCCGUAACUGGUCUGAGAGGAUGAUCAGUCACACUGGAACUGAGACACGGUCCAGACUCCUACGGGAGGCAGCAGUGGGGAAUAUUGGACAAUGGGCGAAAGCCAGAUCCAGCCAUGCCGCGUGUGUGAAGAAGGUCUUCGGAUUGUAAAGCACUUUAAGUUGGGAGGAAGGGCAGUAAGUUAAUACCUUGCUGUUUUGACGUUACCAACAGAAUAAGCACCGGCUAACUUCGUG
rnacentral:rRNA from 1 species